CCUGCUUACACUUUUCUUUAGCUUCCAAAUUUCUUGAAAUUUGUCCACAUUACCUCCACUUCCUAAACAUUUACUCUCUUUAAAAUCCCUAGAAAUUUAUUACUCAGCCCAAAUAUUCUCUCUGAAACUGUUAUCUCAAAGGUCACUAGUAACUUACUAAAUCCAAUUUUAUUUUUUUCAAUCCAGGCACAUCCUUCUUGCCCUUCCUGCACCAGCUGCCACUGUUUACCAGUCUGUAGCAGCUGGGCGAUGGAGAGAUUGUCAAGGAUUCUUGACUGACAUGUUCCCCUGGCUGUGAUUCGGGGGCUAGCUUCCUCAGAAUCUCCAUUUGAAAUUGGCAGAAACGGUGUCGCUGAGGACUCCUCUCAUGUCCUGUCACAUUUCCAUGCGAACAAAUCUCAUCUCACUGACGACGCCUGUCAAGUUUCACUUCGUUGCAGAGAUUUUUCAGUGAGCUCUGUCUUUAAUAAAGGGGAGAAGGGGGGUUGGGGGGUGGGUAGGAGCUGGAACUACUAAUUU
rnacentral:lncRNA from 1 species